UAACCUCUCCGGGCGUCUAAACCAUACGUGUUGUGAAAGAGGGAUUUCGCAUAGAGAAAUACCGGAAGUAACUUUAGUCAAAGUGACAUUCGACCACACAGGAAAACGGUUAGUGCUCGCGGUUAUUGUUCGCGCUUCAAAUUGACGAGUUGGUGAUCGAAACUGUUUCAUCGGAUCAAUUGGAUAUUUUCUCAUGAUGCGUCCUCCGCGCUGUGCAUUCUAUGAACAGGAAUUAGGACUGAGCAAGGAGAUUAUUAUUGACUGGACAAGUUUUUGCCGUGAGCUGAGCCGGAACCCACAGGAUUCAACGCGUGUCUUCCUUCUUCUCCUGGGGUAUUGAAUUUGUGCCUUGAGAACGGGCGCCAAUAUAUCCAAUUUGGAACAGCAUCCUCCCGGUUUUUUAAUUGACUGGCCAUUCAAUUAAAACAGUCACCCGAUUAGUCAACUCUACUCAACUGGAACGUCACCCAACAACGACUUCAGUUCUGGAUAAAUAGGGACACCCUGUACGGGAGCAAUCAGUAUGGGGUUGUCUCUCGCCCUGAUGAAGUAAACUGCAAUGUUUACGA